GACGUAGGGCGCAAGCGUUGUCCGGAUUUAUUGGGCGUAAAGAGCUCGUAGGCGGCCUGUCGCGUCGACCGUGAAAACCCGCAGCUCAACUGCGGGCUUGCGGUCGAUACGGGCAGGCUGGAGUUCGGUAGGGGAGACUGGAAUUCCUGGUGUAGCGGUGAAAUGCGCAGAUAUCGGGAGGAACACCGAUGGCGAAGGCAGGUCUCUGGGCAUUAACUGACGCUGAGGAGCGAAAGCAUGGGGAGCGAACAGG
rnacentral:rRNA from 1 species